rnacentral:rRNA from 1 species
GUCCACGCCGUAAACGAUGAUAACUAGCUGUCCGGGCACUUGGUGCUUGGGUGGCGCAGCUAACGCAUUAAGUUAUCCGCCUGGGGAGUACGGCCGCAAGGUUAAAACUCAAAGAAAUUGACGGGGGCCUGCACAAGCGGUGGAGCAUGUGGUUUAAUUCGAAGCAACGCGCAGAACCUUACCAACGUUUGACAUGUCUAGUGUGGUUUUCAGAGAUGAAUUCCUUCAGUUCGGCUGGCUAGAACACAGGUGCUGCAUGGCUGUCGU